UACAGAGGGUGCGAGCGUUAAUCGGAAUUACUGGGCGUAAAGCGUGCGCAGGCGGUUCGUUAAGUCAGAUGUGAAAGCCCCGGGCUCAACCUGGGAACUGCAUUUGAAACUGGCGGGCUUGAGUGUGGCAGAGGGGGGUGGAAUUCCGCGUGUAGCAGUGAAAUGCGUAGAGAUGCGGAGGAACACCGAUGGCGAAGGCAGCUCGCUGGGACGGUACUGACGCUGAGGCGCGAAAGCGUGGGGAGCAAACAGG
rnacentral:rRNA from 1 species